rnacentral:pre_miRNA from 1 species
UCCAAAUGACACUUCUUCUAACAUUGCUGCACUGUUGCCAACAGGGCAGCAAUGUUAGAAGAAGUGUCAUUGGA